rnacentral:rRNA from 1 species
AACGAACGCUGGCGGCAUGCCUAACACAUGCAAGUCGAACGAGACCUUCGGGCCUAGGGGCGCACGGGGGCGUAACGCGGGGGAACCUGCCCUUAGGUUCGGAAUAACUCCCCGAAAGGGGUGCUAAGACCGGAGAAGGUCAUCGGACCAAAGAGUUAUCGCCUUUGGCUGGGGCCUCGUUGGAUUAGCUAGUUGGUAGGGUAAAAGCCUGCCAAGGCGACGAUCCAUAGCUGGUCUGAGAGGAUGAUCCGCCACGCUGGGACUGAGACACGGCCCAGACUCCUACGCGAAGCAGCAGUGGGGAAUAUUGGACACUGGGCGAAAGCCUGAUCCCGCCAUGCCGCGUGAGUGAUGAAGGCCUUAGGGUUGUAAAGCUCUUUUACCCGGGAUGAUAAUGACAGUACCGGGAGAAUAAGCUCCGGCUAACUCCGUG